GACGAACGCUGGCGGCGUGCCUAAUACAUGCAAGUAGAACGCACAGUUUAUACCGUAGCUUGCUACACCAUAGACUGUGAGUUGCGAACGGGUGAGUAACGCGUAGGUAACCUGCCUGGUAGCGGGGGAUAACUAUUGGAAACGAUAGCUAAUACCGCAUAAUAUUAAUUAUUGCAUGAUAAUUGAUUGAAAGAUGCAACUGCAUCACUACCAGAUGGACCUGCGUUGUAUUAGCUAGUAGGUGAGGUAACGGCUCACCUAGGCGACGAUACAUAGCCGACCUGAGAGGGGGAUCGGCCACACUGGGACUGAGACACGGCCCAGACUCCCACGGGAGGCAGCAGUAGGGAAUCUUCGGCAAUGGACGAAAGUCUGACCGAGCAACGCCGCGGGAGUGAAGAAGGUUUUCGGAUCGUAAAGCUCUGUUGUAAGAGAAGAACGGGGGUGAGAGUGGAAAGUUCACACUGUGACGGUAUCUUACCAGAAAGGGACGGCUAACUACGUG
rnacentral:rRNA from 1 species